rnacentral:snRNA from 1 species
AUACUUACCUGGCAGGUUAGAUGCCAUGAUCAUGAAGGUGGUUUUCCCAGGGCGAGGCUCACCCAUUGCACUCCAGAUGUGCUGACCCCUGCGAUUUCCCCAAAUGUGGGAAACUCGACUGCAUAAUUUGUGGUAGUGGGGGACUGCGUUCGCGCUCUCCCCGG